UACGGAGGGUGCAAGCGUUGUCCGGAAUCACUGGGCGUAAAGGGCGCGUAGGCGGCUCAUGAAGGCUGUGGUGAAAGUCCGGGGCUCAACCUCGGAUCGGCCGUGGCGACUCGUGGGCUGGAGCACUGUAGAGGCGGGUGGAAUUCCUGGUGUAGCGGUGGAAUGCGUAGAGAUCCGGAAGAACACCGGUGGCGAAGGCGGCAUCCUGGACCGGCAUUGACGCUGAGUGAGCGAAAGCUAGGGGGAGCGAAUGGG
rnacentral:rRNA from 1 species